UACGUAGGGUGCAAGCGUUGUCCGGAAUUAUUGGGCGUAAAGAGCUCGUAGGCGGUUUGUUGCGUCUGCUGUGAAAACCCGAGGCUCAACCUCGGGACUGCAGUGGGUACGGGCAGACUAGAGUGCGGUAGGGGAGAUUGGAAUUCCUGGUGUAGCGGUGGAAUGCGCAGAUAUCAGGAGGAACACCAAUGGCGAAGGCAGAUCUCUGGGCCGUAACUGACGCUGAGGAGCGAAAGCAUGGGGAGCGAACAGG
rnacentral:rRNA from 1 species